UGGUCUUAUGCUCUUCUCCAAUUCCCUCAUUUGAUUUUGGUGACAGAGGCUGUGCUUUCCUCGAAUCAUACAACAGUAACUGCGCGGCAGCGGCGAUGAAGAAGGAAUGGAAGCGAAGAGAACUGAGCAUUUUGGUGCUCUAUGCCAUUGCUUUCUACACUUUCAUCGUCCGUCGAUCCCUUCAACUCUCUCACGAUCAUGAAGCAAAGCUCUAUGGUUUGCGCCCUGGAUGGCUUCUCCCUCCUUGUCUUAAUGAUGUCUCUGAUGCCCAAUGGAGAAACUUUCGCGGAAACUUGCCAAUUCUUACUGUUGUUUUCGGAAUUUCCAC
rnacentral:misc_RNA from 1 species